rnacentral:misc_RNA from 1 species
AUAGACCACUGCUUGCUGCGGGCCAAGUGGGAGAAAUUUGUAAGAAAAGAGUUGAUCCCAGCCAAUGAGUUGAGAAAGGAAUGAGACCCCCAUGGCCAUGCCCCACGCAUAAAUAUGCCUAUGUAAUCCAACGUCCUAAAAAUCAUUUUGUUUGAAAUUAUACAGCUAAUCAAUUCAUAAUUAUAUUAUCUUCUUUGUUUUUAAAUUGGCAGAUAAGAUUGAUGAUUUUUAAUACCCACUUGCGCGUAGGGAACUGAACACAGCUCUAUAUUGAACGAUAACUGAGAAGAGGAUGGCGAUUAGCAUUGCCUCCAUUUGAGACCACUUAGGAGAAGUGGGGUCAAUUCCAUAAUUUCUUGCUCACGUCUAAGAAAUUGUUAAAGGAUUCCAAAUCUAGAACUACUCUUCAUCACUGAACAGAACUGAAUGAUGCAAUUGCAUCCAUUUCCUGCUGUAGAAGAAGAGCAUCAAUGAAGACAUCCAGACUCUCUCCCUGCAUCACACCAUCUAUUGAAUGAUGAGUAAUGCCAACACGAUGAUCAGUGACACGCCCUUGAGGAAAGUUGUAGGUGCGGAUGCGUUCAGAUCUGUCUCCACUACCAACCUGCUCUAAUCGAAGUUUCGAUCGAGUCAUCUGAAUUCUUGACCUUUCCAUUUCAUAUAGCUUUGCACAGAGCACCUUAAGGGCUUUUGCUUUGUUCAUGUGCUGGGAUCGUUCAUCUUGUAUGGACACUGUCAUCCCAGUUGGUAAAUGAGUUACUCUAACAGCGCUAUUGGUGGUAUUUGCAUGCUGGCCCCCUGAACCACCAGAUCUGUAAGUGUCAAUCCUCAAAUCUUCAUUCCUCAACUGAACAUCUACCUGCAGAGACUCAGAAUACAAGAAAUCUGAAGCAGUCCAAUUACAAUAAUGAGAAGGAAGCAUAAGUACACAUUGAAGUCAUAAUAAUACUUCCAGUUACUAUUGUGAAUUGAAGUUAACUGUACAAAUGCUUAGAUAAUAAAAAUACCAUUUCCUCAAUAAUUAUAAGUCAAAUCUUCCAAAGAAAAAAAAAUCCAGUCUCUUAGUUAAUGAAACACAGAACAUCACUUAGCAUUUAACACCUCAUCAGCUUGAGGAAGGAUAGCAACAGAAACAGCACUAGUGUGAAUGCGUCCAGACUUCUCUGUUACAGGAACACGCUGAACUCUGUGAAUUCCACUCUCAAAUUUAAGUUUCCCAAAAACACCAGCUCCAGAAAUUGCAGCACUAGCUUCCUUGUAUCCUUUCAAAUCAGAUUCGGUUAUAUCAACAACUUCAUAUUUCCAACCAUUCAUCUGUGAGUAUCUCUCAUACAUUUUGAAUACAUCCAUUGCGAACAAAGAUGCCUCUUCCCCUCCAGUUCCUGCUCUCACUUCCAAAAUACAAUCCCUCUCAUCAGCAUCAUCCCUUGGAAGUAAUGACUUCAGAAGCAAAUUCUGAAAUCUUUUCUCUUCCUCCAUUGCCUGUCUCAAUUCCUCAUUUGCCAUGUCAAGCAUGUCUUUAUCUUCCGGACAUUCAGCCAUCAGUGAUCUUAAACCAUCUAUUUCCUUUUGUUUAGACCUCAAUUGAAUUAUAAGGUCCAUAAAGCCCCCAAGUUUCUGUAGUUCUUUAUUAGCUCUUGCAUAUUCUGUAGGCGACACUUCUAGCUGAUUUAUGAAAUUCUCAAGACAAGCACUUCUAUGCUCAAUAGCUGAUAACCUUUUCUCCAUGAUUCUAAUAAGGUCAGGGGACAGUUGUGAUUGCAAUUCUACAAUUAAAUAAUUUUCAAAAAUGAUCAAAACGAAACAAAAAUUCUGAUAGCACAUUGUGAAGCUAAAUGCUUAUAAAUGAGGUGACAAAUGUUCAAAAAUGACUAGUCACCCUUUGAUAAACCUGCAAGAACAUAAAUUUGAAUGUAGGUUUUUAUAUUGAAUACGUCUAUUAGUUUAUACAUAAAAAAAUGGAUAGAAAUAGAUCACGAUUUGCUGAAUCAAUCAGUCAGAAGAACAUGCUGAAAAAUGAAUUGAAUAUUUCUAAAACUAAAUUACUAAAAUUACCUAGUAUACAAGAUGUGUUGAAUGAAAUAAAUUAUAUGGAAAGCUAGGGUUUUGGAAAGAAACAUCAUCCACUAACAUAAUCCCAGUAAAAUAGCAUACAUGCAGAGGUGAAGUAUAUGUCAAAAUUAUUGAAGUCGUAAGAAAACCCCACCGGUUGAGAAAGAGCGAGGAAAGAGGAGAAAAACAUUGGCAAUGGCUGAUGGAAGAAAUGAUUUUCGAUAGCAAGGAUUUGUAUGCGAAAUUGCAGAGACGGAUUGAAGCUGCUCUAUUGCCCAGACCAUAUUGAUGCUCCACUUCAGCCCUCUAUUUAUUCUCAUUUUACCUGUACGCUAUGCCCCAAUCCAGAAUCAGUUCUGCGAUGGAGAAGAGGCAGUGCUAUUGCAGAUGCAGAUUCUUAGGACUUGGGAGUACAACCUGGAGGUGGAACUGGAACGGGAAACGGGAAAGCACAAACAAUACCCAAUCCUACGACACCGAUUCGACUUCCAGGAACAGUUUGACGUCGUUUAUGUGACAAGACGCCGAGAAAUUAUAUCCUACAUCUUCAGUACCUUUAUAACCUUAGAAUCGACUUUUGGUUUAAACAGAACGGCCAGGAUCAUAAUCAAUGCUCUGAUCUUCCUCUAGCAAUCGAACACCUGUCUACCACCCAAAACUCUCCACUCUCCCAAGCAUUCAAUGUUAAUAUUAAUAUUAAAAAAAUAAUAAAAAUAGAGAAGUCUCUCCCUCUCAUCUCUAUUACACAAAAGGAGAGGUUACAGAAAUGCAGGGCGAUGAAGCCAGGGUCUUGCUAGGCUUCCCUCCCAAUUCCCGCCCCACCGCCUCCCAGGUUAAAGCUGCUUACAGAAAGAAGGUAUGGGAAUCUCAUCCUGACCUUUUUCCCGUUCACGAAAAGCCUAGUGCUGAGUCCAGGUUCAAGUUGAUUUCAGAAGCUUACACUUACCUGCUGUCUGGUAAUUUUCUCCUGUCUGCAUAUGUUAUGAGACAAAUCAAAGAGUAUUCCCAAGUGAUCAUGGUUUGCAAAAUCCCAAAUGGACGGUAAAGAAGUUAUUGGAUAAACUUGCAACUCGGAGUUUGAUGCUUAAGAUACUUGAUUUAUUUAUAUUAUAAACUUUUAGAAAUGGAUUGUCAAACCAACCAUAUCAUUCUGUUUCCUGUCUAACUGUUGAGAUAUAUCCUGACUCUGUUGAUUAUGCGUUUCUUGUGUUUUAUUUAUUUUAUUUUAUUUUAUUUUUUUUUUUUUUAUUUUAUUUUAUUUUUUAAGUUUAUUAAGCACUUUAAUUCACUUGUUUGGGUGUCUAUUAGCUAUCAACUGUACUUAAAAGGUGAACCAAACACCCCCUUAGUCUUGAUUCUUAUUUUUAUCUUAGUAUUUCUUCCUGUGAUUUUUUUUGGCCUUCCGCUUUAAAUUAUAAUUGUUGAUAGUAUUGAUUGUGAAUUGUUUCAUUCUGGUUGUUAUUUUAAUUUCUUGGAAUUUUACUUGUUUUGGUAGCUACCAUGACGGAGGAAACUUCCAAUGAUGUGAAGGACGAGGUGGCAGAACUUGCCCCCUUUGAUCCUACCAAAAAGAAGAAGAAGAAGAAGGUUGUCAUACAGGAUAGCGCAGAUGAUUCUGUGGACAAGCUCACUGAGAAAACUGAAUCGAUAUCAGGUACCUGAAGUGGAAUUUUACUUAUAUUGGUUUUAUUUACUUUACAAAGUAUGUGUGAAUGACUUGUGUAAGGACAUGAAUUGCAUUUGUUAUGGGUGUUAUUAUUAUUAUUAUUAGUAUUUUUUUCUCUAAUUGCAGUCUCUGAUGGCCUUGAGAGUACAUUCGCUGGUUUGAAAAAGAAGAAGAAGAAACCAGUAGAAUCUGGUAUUUUAAAUGAGGAAAGUGGGGAUGCAGGAGAAGAUUUGGAUGGAGAGAAUGAAGGAGGAGAAGGAAAUGCCCAAGAACAGCAGCUUUAUCCUUGGGAGGGGAGUGAUCGUGAUUAUGAAUAUGAGGAGCUCCUUGGUAGGGUCUUCAAUAUUUUGCGUGAGAACAAUCCAGAGCUUGCAGGAGAUAGGCGGAGAACUGUGAUGAGGCCUCCACAAGUUCUUCGUGAGGGAACAAAGAAAACUGUUUUUGUAAACUUCAUGGAUCUCUGCAAGACGUAUGUUUAUGUUCCUUCUCUUUAGUUUGUGUGUGUUGUUCACUAUACAUUACUUUGUUACCAUUUCUAUGACUUAUGUAUGCUUUUCAUCUUUUUUUAAUGGGUGAAAUUAUUUAAUAAUUUUGGUAUGUCUUAUAAUAACUGGUUGGCUGUAUUUUAUUUCUCAGAACUUUUUUGGCCUAUUCAUACUGCGGAAAUAAAAUUCCUGUUUUAGGAUGUAUGGAUUUGCUCAUAUUUUUCCAUACUUUUGUUUGUGACAUACUAAUGUUCAUAGUAUUUGAUAUCUUUUUUUUUUUUUAGAAAAAAAGUUAUUUUAAAAUUUAUUUACCAUGUAAUCCUAUAAUUCUUGCCAAACAAGCUUAGUUCAAUUGAUUUUAGUUAUUUUUCUCCUAAUGAAACUACAUCUUGUGGUGAUGAAGACAUAUUGCAUGUACAGUUGUGUGCAAAAUGACUUUUAUUUGUAGAUAUGUAGUAGUUAAUAAUUUGUAGGUGAGUUGUCACUCAUUAGGCGUUGAGAGUAUUAAGUUCUUGUUGAUAUAUACAAGACUGCAACUUUGUGAAAGAAAUCUAUGAUUCACUGAAAUAAUUUCUUUAUGUUAUAAUGGGUAUGUGUGCAUUUGCAUUUAUACCAGGUGUGCUUGGAGGUCCUCUUCCUAUCUUGUCUAGAGUUGUUAAUGAUGGUCAUUCAGUGUCAAACUGUGAUGCCAAUAUAUGUGAUGGUAUAAAAGUAAAUUGUAGCUUUAACUUUAUGGUUGAAAUGGGAUCAGUCGUUAACUUGUAAGUAUCUAUUUUUAAACACAUCAUUUCUGUCCUCCCAACUUGAAUCCUAAAUUUCCACUUUACUGUUGCCUUCUUCUGUUGUGGGCAAAAUGUCUAGAAUGCAUCGGCAGCCAGACCAUGUCAUGACCUUCCUACUUGCUGAGUUGGGGACUAGUGGAUCACUUGAUGGACAGCAAAGGUUAGUCGUGAAGGGAAGAUUUGCUCCCAAAAAUUUUGAGGGGAUCCUGCGUCGAUACAUUAAUGAGUAUGUCAUUUGCAUUGGUUGCAAAAGUCCAGACACAAUACUUUCAAAGGAGAAUCGUCUCUUCUUU